UCUGUGAAAAGCUCUUUAAAUAGAGCUGGAGAGACGCCCUAUUCAGGAAAAUUGCUCGCAGUCAUGUGCGAGCGUAGAUCAGGUGCGGUGAUGUGCUGAACGGGCGAGUGGACGUGCGGAGCCUGGAGUGCGCGAUCUGUGGUCCACGUGAGGAAAUGGCCUUGGUCCAUGUGAGGGGGUGAGCAGGCUGUUUGGCCCUUUGGCGUGAGUGACGAGAUGCACCGGUCCACGUGUGGGUGUUGAUGAAGCGGUCCAUUGCAGAGAGCUUUGGUUUGGGGGCCAUGUGCAGAUUAGUCCAUGUGAAGAGUUGAUGAAGCCUAGGCGGGCCCAUGUGCAAGUGGUUUGGUGCUGGCCACAUGUGCACGUUUUGAUGAAGAGAAUUGGUCCAUCUGCGCGUGUGGGCUUGAUUCACGUGGAGAGAGCGGUGAAGCGCGGGUCUGUUGCGCGUGAAUGCUUCGGGAAUGGGCCAUGGUGAAUGCGCGCAGAGUGGGCCGUCCAAGCUUUGGCGGAAUGGGCCGUCCGUGUCCUCUUGUGCGAGCCCAAUUAUUUCUUAGCUCCAAAUAAUGCGGUUUUAGGAGGAUUUUCUCCAAAUUAUCCUUUUACACCAUUUUCUGCAAAAUAAUAUUAAAAGCAAUAAAUUAAGCAGAAAUCAUGUAAAUAUUUAUCAAUAAUAUUAAUAUAAAAUGGACUAAUUUAUGCUCUAUCAAAUACCCCCACACUUAGCCUUUUGCUUGUCC
rnacentral:lncRNA from 1 species